GAGAGAGAGAGAGAGAGGAUGUUGGUUGUCAGCAUUUGUUGGAGAUGUUAUUAUGGAUUGAGAAAAUAUUAGGGUGUUAGUACCCUAAAUUGUUUUUGAGUCUACUAAGAGUGUCAAGAAAAAUUUGUAUGGCCUUUUAUUAUGUGUGUGAAUGGAUUGUGGAGCAUGCUAGGGAUAUUAAGAUUCUAAUGCGAAUUGAAUUUGAAUGCGCCUCUCUAAUAUUGAAUCAAAA
rnacentral:misc_RNA from 1 species